rnacentral:rRNA from 1 species
AGGAUGAACGCUGGCGGCGUGCUUAACACAUGCAAGUCGAACGAACACUUUCGGGUGUGAGUGGCGGACGGGUGAGUAACGCGUGAGGAUCUGCCUACAGGACCGGGACAACAGUGGGAAACUGCUGCUAAAACCGGAUGUGCCGAGAGGUGAAAUAUUUAUAGCCUGUAGAUGAACUCGCGUCUGAUUAGCUAGUUGGUGUGGUAAAGGCAUACCAAGGCGACGAUCAGUAGCUGGUCUGAGAGGACGAUCAGCCACACUGGGACUGAGACACGGCCCAGACUCCUACGGGAGGCAGCAGUGGGGAAUUUUCCGCAAUGGGCGAAAGCCUGACGGAGCAAGACCGCGUGGGGGAAGAAGGCUCUUGGGUUGUAAACCCCUUUUCUCUGGGAAGAACACAAUGACGGUACCAGAGGAAUCAGCAUCGGCUAACUCCGUGCCAGCAGCCGC